GUGCCAGCAGCCGCGGUAAGACGUAGGGGGCAAGCGUUGUCCGGAAUUACUGGGCGUAAAGGGCGUGUAGGCGGUGCGAUACGUAGCGGUUUUAAGCCUCCGGCUCACCCGGAGGAGGGCGGCUAAACGGUCGCACUGGAGGGCAGGAGAGGUGCGUGGAAUUCCUGGUGGAGCGGUGAAAUGCGUAGAGAUCAGGAAGAACACCAGUGGCGAAGGCGGCGCACUGGCCUGACCCUGACGCUGAGGCGCGACAGCGUGGGGAGCAAACGGGAUUAGAUACCCCGGUAGUCCACGCCGUAAACGAUGGAUACUAGGUGUCGUGGGGGUCCACCCUGCGGUGCCGGAGCUAACGCACUAAGUAUCCCGCCUGGGGAGUACGGCCGCAAGGUUGAAACUCAAAGGAAUUGACGGGGGCCCGCACAAGCAGUGGAGCAUGUGGUUUAAUUCGACGCAACGCGCAGAACCUUACCAGGACUGGACAGGCACGUGAGCGCCGCGAAAGCGGCGGGCCCUUCGGGGAGCGUGCUCAGGUGCUGCAUGGUUGUCGUCAGCUCGUGUCGUGAGAUGUUGGGUUAAGUCCCGCAACGAGCGAGACCCA
rnacentral:rRNA from 1 species